UAUUAAGUGACGUCAGUCAGUGCCUCGUACUCAGCUAGAGACGAACUGUGAAUUCUCCUACACCUAACUAAUCUCUCCAUUGCCUUUAUUAGUGUUCUUAUAUGAGCGAGUUAAUGCGUAGAAAACCACUCACUGUUACCACUCUACCUGAUCAACAGUAAACUCCUAACUUUGAUUCAA